UGUCCAGUAACUCCGAUACCCUGGCCUCCCCGCGGCGCUAGCCGGGAUACUAGUAACCAUUGGAGAGAUCGGGUAACCAACCCUGUGGGAACUCUGGUAGUAUGCUGACAGGGAAGG
rnacentral:ribozyme from 1 species